AUUGAACGCUGGCGGCAGGCCUAACACAUGCAAGUCGAGCGAGCGGCGGACGGGUGAGUAAUGUAUGGGGAUCUGCCCGAUAGAGGGGGAUAACUACUGGAAACGGUGGCUAAUACCGCAUACUAUCGGCUCACCCCCUAUGGGAUUGGCUAGUAGGUGGGGUAAAGGCGCACCUAGGCGACGAUCGCUAGCUGGGCUGAGAGGAUGAGCAGCCAGACUGGGACUGAGACACGGCCCAGACUCCUACGGGAGGCAGCAGUGGGGAAUAUUGCACAAUGGGCGCAAGCCGGAUGCAGCCAUGCCGCGUGUAUGAAGAAGGCCUUAGGGUUGUAAAGUUCUUUCAGCGGGGAGGGGUUAUCCGCAGAAGAAGCGCCGGCUAACUACGUGCCAGCAGCCGCGGUAAUAC
rnacentral:rRNA from 1 species